rnacentral:rRNA from 1 species
UACGUAGGUGGCAAGCGUUGUCCGGAUUUACUGGGCGUAAAGCGCGCGCAGGCGGCCGGCUAAGUCCGGUGUGAAAUCUCCCGGCUCAACUGGGAGGAGUCAUUGGAUACUGGUCGGCUCGAGGGAGGCAGAGGAGAGUGGAAUUCCCGGUGUAGUGGUGGAAUGCGUAGAUAUCGGGAGGAACACCAGCGGCGAAGGCGGCUCUCUGGGCCUUUCCUGACGCUGAGGCGCGAAAGCGUGGGGAGCAAACCGG